CUUCACUGCUACUGCUACUACUACUGCUACAAUAGAGUUUGAUUCGGCGUCGCGCGUGUCGACGUCGUGUUACGUCCUCGUAAUAUCGUCGUGAUGCGUCACAUCAGUCGAGGCUAAUGUGAGCACGUUAAGAUCGUCCAAUUAAAAUCGUCGAAUGCUUGACGGUGAGAAGGAAUACUGAGGGUGGAGUAAUAGAAGUAGAAAGGAAAGAGAGUUGUACAGAGGGCAAAAGACGUAGAAGCAAAGGCUCUGUGUUUCUCUUCGAGCUCUAUAAUAGGAAAAAAGAGAUUUGUGUAUUGUGUUAUCAUUGUGGGACGAGGGCGGCACGAUACAAACUAUUCAUACGACGAUGACGAUGACGAUGACGAUGACGACGAUGAUAACGAUGAUGACGAUAACGUCUCGGUCGUUGGCGUCGAUUAACACGUUUUCCCUCUUUCCUACUACGUAGAAAAACAAGAAACGUCUAUCCAAAAAAAAAGUGGGAAGGAAGAUAUCAACAGAAAGAAAGAAUAAAAGGAAGAAAUUAUCAGGUUUUCAUUCAUUCGAAUUCCUUCUUGAAAGGGAAAUAUAAGUCGUUAAUAUUUUCUUACGUUUUUCUUUAAUAACAUUCGAUUCUAUCUUAUUGCAUAAAAGUGUUGUUUUCCUAAGAAUAUUGAAUAGGGAGAAGGGAAAUAGAGAUCGAUAUGUGUAGUAAAAA